UACGUAGGCAGCAAGCGUUGUUCGGAAUUACUGGGCGUAAAGAGUGUGUAGGCGGUGCUCUAAGUUCGGUGUGAAAUCUCCCGGCUCAACUGGGAGGGUGCGCCGGAAACUGGAGUGCUGGAGCGCGGGAGAGGAAAGCGGAAUUCCUGGUGUAGCGGUGAAAUGCGUAGAUAUCAGGAGGAACACCGAUGGCGAAGGCAGCUCGCUGGGACGUGACUGACGCUGAGACGCGAAAGCGUGGGGAGCAAACAGG
rnacentral:rRNA from 1 species